UGUACCCGAAUAAGAAGGUCCGGCUAACUUCGUGCCAGCAGCCGCGGUAAUACGAAGGGACCUAGCGUAGUUCGGAAUUACUGGGCUUAAAGAGUUCGUAGGUGGUUGAAAAAGUUGGUGGUGAAAUCCCAGAGCUUAACUCUGGAACUGCCAUCAAAACUUUUCAGCUAGAGUAUGAUAGAGGAAAGCAGAAUUUCUAGUGUAGAGGUGAAAUUCGUAGAUAUUAGAAAGAAUACCAAUUGCGAAGGCAGCUUUCUGGAUCAUUACUGACACUGAGGAACGAAAGCAUGGGUAGCGAAGAGGAUUAGAUACCCUCGUAGUCCAUGCCGUAAACGAUGUGUGUUAGACGUUGGAAAUUUAUUUUCAGUGUCGCAGCGAAAGCGAUAAACACACCGCCUGGGGAGUACGACCGCAAGGUUAAAACUCA
rnacentral:rRNA from 1 species